rnacentral:lncRNA from 1 species
CAAAAUAAAAAAAUGAAAUCCGGAGUCGGCCAUGAAUAGUAACCGACCCGUCAGAACCCAGUCAAACAUCAAAAUACAUAUACAACAUAACAUUUAGUAUUUACAAGCCAAAGUGGCAUACAAAAGUGAUACAAAAGUUACUACAUGUAUGGUUUGCCAAAAUCCAAAGUGAAACGGCUCUAAAGGUACAUUUAGGGUUUCGAUUCAUAAGCUAUACAAAAGAGACAUUCAUUUAGCUCAUUCGGCAACCAACUAGCAAGAAUCAUUCCAAAAGUAGUCAUAUGCCUGUAAGGAAAACAAAAGGAACGGUGUGAGCUAAUUGCCCAGUGAGAUACUAUCACUUAAGCAACCAAGAUCACAUAAGCAUAACCUUCAUUCCAAUUACUUUAUUAAGAAGUAAAACAAAUCGGUAAAAGGAUACGGACGGCUCUCAAGAGCCCAUUUCCACGCUUACAUUCUUGAUCGAACCUCAUUGACCCUCCGUCAAUGUUUAAGAAUAACCAACCGUAGACUUCACUUCACUUCCAUUCUUUCCACCCAACAUACCCCUACCGGGCCCGCACUCCAAACAGUAGCCAUUUGGUAAUACUCGAGUAUACCGGAAUCGAGAGUCUCACUACUACAAGAUUCCAUAUAACAGUCCCCAUGGCUCGUCAAUUUUCACGACCAAGCCCUCGCCGGCUCGAUUCAAUUGACUACCAACGGGGUUGAGCUCAGUAGUAACAGUAAGGCCGUUGGAUACUCGUCCAAACGACACCAAAUCAGUUUUCCAUGAAUGGAAUUUAGUAUUUCAUGUAUCAUUCAGUCAUUACAGUGAAACAGUAGACAAUCCUCAACAAUAUCAAAGGAUGUGAGGGCGAUCAAGUACACCCUCACUUUAAUCAGUUUCAACAGUGCAAAUAAGCCUUCAAGGCGUUAAUUUCAAUAUAAUAAAGUCACAUUGUAAACAAACAAGUGAGUAGUAUACUCACAUAGCAAGCAAGUGGAAUAUCGUGAACUUCUGCCCAAAAGGCGUCUUUAAUUACCGUCACGCCCUAAAACAUGCAAACAAGUACAAUGAGACUCGAUAACGAGUCAUAAACCAAUGCCAAAUACUCCCAAAAUAGGGUUCCAUACGCAUACAUAAGCAUUAGAGGAAAUCAGAAAAAUCCGGAAAUGCAAUUGGACUUCAAUUAAAAAAACAGUUUUUGACGUCAUUAUGCGGUUUUAGCACCAACGGCACUACAAUUAUCGGAUGGGGGUGUAAGACCCACCGUUUCGAAGCUAAGAGACAGGGAUACAAUGUUUCAGAAGGCGAUUUUGUCCAGUUUUGAGUGUAACAAGGUCAAAAAUGCAUUAUACUAUACCAGAACCGGAAAAACAGAUUCACAAAACGCAUUCUGCUGCAAACAGCAUAACUCAGCCUAAUUAAGUCCAAAUCCAGAAAUUCCAAAACCAUCUGAAAGCUAAGAAACAGGGAUAAAUUUCAUCAGAAGGCCUGAACAGCCAAUUAGGAAGCAAUUCCAGCCAAAACAACCAAUUACAGGCGCAAUUCUUACAUUCGGGUAAAACCAGAACAGCAAUAGUAAUUUCGACUUUUCUCAUUCUACACUACUCCGAUUGACCUGAAAUUUUGUAGGCACCUCUAAAAUGUCAUUCCCUACAACUUUCAUGUUUUAAACCAAGGCCAAUUCGGCCUCUAACUAGGAGCUAAAAAUUCGGGCAGAAUGCUCCCUCAAGAACCCUAAUUUUCUGAAAUUUCUUCCAAACCAGAAAUUGGUUGCAAUUAAUCAUUUUUUCCACCUCCUAGAGUCAUUAUAUACCAUUUCUAAUCAUCAUAGAUAGCCACACAAUCAUGCUCAUAUUAAAACAGAAAAAAAUCUCCAAAAAUAAUAAAACUUCAUCACUUCAACCACAAAUCAAGAAAUAACCCAUAAACUUGCAUCUCAUACUACCACUAAGCAUGAUUUAAGCAUCAAUUAAGGGAGGAGGGUGGUUCUUCACAACUUACCUUAAAACAAGAGAGAGAGAGCUAUUGGACACCUUAACUUUCCAAAUAACUUCACACAACAACUCACCAACACCUCCUUAAGUGGUUUUAUGGAGCAAAAUCAAGGUUGGAUGGUUGGUUUUGAUGAUUUGGAACAAACUUGAAGAGUUUUCUUCCUUGUGCUUAGAGUAAGAGAGAGAGAAAGAGAGAAUGAGAGGGCCGGCCACCAUGGAGGAUUUUUUGAUGAUUUUUGGGUAAUUUUUAAGCUAUUUUAACCAAAUUGGUAAAAGGGUGAAUAGUGUUCAAAAAGGUCAAACCACUCCUAUGGUGAC